AUUGAACGCUGGCGGCAGGCCUAACACAUGCAAGUCGAACGGUAACAGGGAUCAGCUUGCUGAUUCGCUGACGAGUGGCGGACGGGUGAGUAAUGUCUGGGAAACUGCCUGAUGGAGGGGGAUAACUACUGGAAACGGUAGCUAAUACCGCAUAACGUCGCAAGACCAAAGAGGGGGACCUUCGGGCCUCUUGCCAUCGGAUGUGCCCAGAUGGGAUUAGCUAGUAGGUGGGGUAACGGCUCACCUAGGCGACGAUCCCUAGCUGGUCUGAGAGGAUGACCAGCCACACUGGAACUGAGACACGGUCCAGACUCCUAUGGGAGGCAGCAGUGGGGAAUAUUGCACAAUGGGCGCAAGCCUGAUGCAGCCAUGCCGCGUGUAUGAAGAAGGCCUUCGGGUUGUAAAGUACUUUCAGCGGGGAGGAAGGGAGUAAAGUUAAUACCUUUGCUCAUUGACGUUACCCGCAGAAGAGGCACCGGCUAACUCCGUG
rnacentral:rRNA from 1 species